UGGGUGAUCUGCCCUGCACUUUGGGAUAAGCCUGGGAAACUGGGUCUAAUACCGAAUACACCCUGCUGGUCGCAUGGCCUGGUGGGGGAAAGCUUUUUGCGGUGUGGGAUGGGCCCGCGGCCUAUCAGCUUGUUGGUGGGGUGAUGGCCUACCAAGGCGACGACGGGUAGCCGGCCUGAGAGGGUGUCCGGCCACACUGGGACUGAGAUACGGCCCAGACUCCUACGGGAGGCA
rnacentral:rRNA from 1 species